rnacentral:rRNA from 1 species
GACGAACGUUGGCGGCGUGCUUAACACAUGCAAGUCGAACGGAAAGGCCCUGCUUUUGUGGGGUGCUCGAGUGGCGAACGGGUGAGUAACACGUGAGUAACCUGCCCUUGACUUUGGGAUAACUUCAGGAAACUGGGGCUAAUACCGGAUAGGAGCUCCUGCUGCAUGGUGGGGGUUGGAAAGUUUCGGCGGUUGGGGAUGGACUCGCGGCUUAUCAGCUUGUUGGUGGGGUAGUGGCUUACCAAGGCUUUGACGGGUAGCCGGCCUGAGAGGGUGACCGGCCACAUUGGGACUGAGAUACGGCCCAGACUCCUACGGGAGGCAGCAGUGGGGAAUAUUGCACAAUGGGCGGAAGCCUGAUGCAGCAACGCCGCGUGCGGGAUGACGGCCUUCGGGUUGUAAACCGCUUUCGCCUGUGACGAAGCGUGAGUGACGGUAAUGGGUAAAGAAGCACCGGCUAACUACGUGCCAGCAGCCGCGGUGAUACGUAGGGUGCGAGCGUUGUCCGGAUUUAUUGGGCGUAAAGGGCUCGUAGGUGGUUGAUCGCGUCGGAAGUGUAAUCUUGGGGCUUAACCCUGAGCGUGCUUUCGAUACGGGUUGACUUGAGGAAGGUAGGGGAGAAUGGAAUUCCUGGUGGAGCGGUGGAAUGCGCAGAUAUCAGGAGGAACACCAGUGGCGAAGGCGGUUCUCUGGGCCUUUCCUGACGCUGAGGAGCGAAAGCGUGGGGAGCGAACAGGCUUAGAUACCCUGGUAGUCCACGCUGUAAACGGUGGGUACUAGGUGUGGGGUCCAUUCCACGGGUUCCGUGCCGUAGCUAACGCUUUAAGUACCCCGCCUGGGGAGUACGGCCGCAAGGCUAAAACUCAAAGGAAUUGACGGGGCCCCGCACAAGCGGCGGAGCAUGCGGAUUAAUUCGAUGCAACGCGUAGAACCUUACCUGGGUUUGACAUGGAUCGGGAGUGCUCAGAGAUGGGUGUGCCUCUUUUGGGGUCGGUUCACAGGUGGUGCAUGGCUGUCGUCAGCUCGUGCCGUGAGAUGUUGGGUUAAGUCCCGCAACGAGCGCAACCCUUGUUCACUGUUGCCAGCACGUUAUGGUGGGGACUCAGUGGAGACCGCCGGGGUCAACUCGGAGGAAGGUGGGGAUGACGUCAAGUCAUCAUGCCCCUUAUGUCCAGGGCUUCACGCAUGCUACAAUGGCUGGUACAGAGAGUGGCGAGCCUGUGAGGGUGAGCGAAUCUCGGAAAGCCGGUCUCAGUUCGGAUUGGGGUCUGCAACUCGACCUCAUGAAGUCGGAGUCGCUAGUAAUCGCAGAUCAGCAACGCUGCGGUGAAUACGUUCCCGGGGCU